rnacentral:rRNA from 1 species
AACUGCGAGUGAAGCGGGAAAAGCUCAAAUUUAAAAUCUGGCGGUCAUUGGCYGUCCGAGUUGUAAUUUAGAGAAGCGUCUUCCGCGCUGGACCGUGCACAAGUCUCCUGGAAUGGAGCGUCAUAGAGGGUGAGAAUCCCGUCUUUGGCACGGAUGCCCGGUGCUUCUGUGAUGCGCUCUCGAAGAGUCGAGUUGUUUGGGAAUGCAGCUCAAAAUGGGUGGUGAACUCCAUCUAAAGCUAAAUAUUGGCGAGAGACCGAUAGCGAACAAGUACCGUGAGGGAAAGAUGAAAAGCACUUUGGAAAGAGAGUGAAACAGUACGUGAAAUUGUUGAAAGGGAAACGCUUGAAGUCAGUCGCGUUGACCGAGACUCAGCCUUGCCUUGGCUUGGUGUACUUCUCGGCCCGACGGGUCAGCAUCAAUUUUGUUCCUCGGAUAAUGGCAAGGGAAAGGUGGCACCUUUACGGGUGUGUUAUAGUCUCCUGUCGCAUGCGAGGGGUGGGAUUGAGGAACUCAGCGUGCACCUCGGUGUCGGGGCCUUU